rnacentral:lncRNA from 1 species
GAAACCCUAGAUUCUAAUUCUCCUCUAACCUCUCAUCUCUCGUUCAUCUCCCUCACUCUCCCGCCGCCUCAGUCACUCUUUCUCACUCCCUCGCCCAGCCGCCGCCCGUUGCCCGCCGCCCCACCAGUUCGUCCGCCCGCUGCCGGCGAAGGCGGGGACAGCAGACGCGGCACACCGCACAUGCCCUUCCUCCUCCAGUUUGCUCGCCGCCCUCUUUCCCUUCUCGGACCACUCCAGCUCCAGCUCGCCGGUCACCUUCUCGGAGCACUCCAAUUCAUCGGCGGUCGGCCUCACCCUGCCAGCCUCCAUCUCAGUUCCUCUAUGGUGGGGUCUGGGUAUGCCACAAAUUUUGGAUAGAUGCUCUUCACCAGUUAGAGGUGAAAGUGAAACCUUGUGCUUAUGCAUUAAUUUCCAUUCUGGAAGAUGAAAAUUGCUGGUCAUAUUUUGUUUAUUGACGACUAAUGGAUAUGUUCUAUCAAGUACUUGAAAAUUUUAUCUUGGGGUGCCAAAAUCAGUUAAAGCAAAAGUUGUUUCUUCCUUUUACUGACUUUUGGGUCAUGAAACUCUGAUUAUGUGCAUCUUUCUUUGUCUGUCAUGUAUUAGGAUUCUGGUCAUGAUUUACAACACAUGUAAAUUCAUUUCUUGCUUUUCACUUCUUCUUAGUUGGCAAACAUAUAUGAAGAAACAAUAUUACUUCGCCCAUAAUUAUCAUUUUGGUUGCAUUUGCGAGACCAUAUUAUUGAAAGUUGCCCCUGUUCCACAUUGUUUCAUGUUUAGCUCCAUGGAGUAGGAUUAAGUGAUCUGCACAACAAUUGAAUUUCAAAGCAAUUGUAAACCUUGCAGUUAUAGUGUUCUUGUGGAAUUUAUAAUACUAUGAAGGCCACCUGUCAAUUCUACCAGCUUUGGAGUUUUUUCCAUUCUAUUUUAGUAAUCACAGAAAUUUUUCCAUUUGAUUUGGCAGCCAUUUUGUUAGAUUAGAUUAUGGUUUUUGCUUGAGUUUGUUAGAUUCAGCCAUUUCAGAUUGGAUUUAUCGAAAUUUUAUGGUUUUUGAAUUGGAUUUGGCAGCCAUUUUGAUUUAUCAUGUUGACAGAUUGGUUUUGGCAACCAUGUAUUUAUCAUUUUGACAAAUUGGUUUUUGAUUUGGCAG